AUAAUUAUUAUAAUUAAUAACCAUCAUGAAAGGAACCCUCCCAUGGCCACCAGUGGACAUGGAUCAGCCCUGGAGAGAGAGAGAGCAGGAGAUAUUGGAUCCGUACUGGCGUAAAAGAGGCUGGAAAAAGAGCUGCUAACCACGGAGAGGAAAUCCGUCAUCCCCUCGGAUGAAAUACGCUCUUUCCAUUAGGCAUUCAGCAGAGAGCGCGAGCCGCAGCAGGGUGGGGGCCUGAGAAGUCACUCGGCAGCAGCUAGUUAAGUGGCCAGAGAGAGGGGAUCUGAAGAGGCGAGAGGAAUAAUUAAAGACAGCACCGUGGAACAGGUCUUAACUGGGUGUCCUUGUGACCCCCCCACCCCCAGCUCCUCUGCUGUCACUCACUGAGGUCGCCGGCGACGCCUGCUGAGGACCUGACCCAGAGGCAGGAAGGCGACUCACCCUCUGCUUACUGCAAACCCAGGACUCACCUCGUCCCCUCCCCGCACCCUUCUGCCCUGCCAUCCAAACAGGCCCUUGGGCUGUGAGCCGGUGUCCAGCAGCCCUGGUCGCAUGCUGCUCAAAAGGCAGCUGUGGAUGGUGCAUAGCAGGGCUGUGGGGACGGCUGCGACCAGAGACAGACAACCACGUGGAAAAUCAUCCCGUUUCUGGCACUGAACUCCAACCUCGGAAAGGUGCGUCACCAGGUUUGAGCCCAGCGAGCUCUGGGUGGACACCCCAAAACCAAGCCCCGCACAGAGCUGCUGGGUGUGUGGAAUUCCAGUUGGAAUGAUGAGGCCUGGGGUUCAUCCCGCCUGCUGGCUAAACCUGGGCCCUGUUCUGAAAGAACCUCCAUGAGCGAUGGGUUACGGACAGUGGGAUCAUGGAAAUGCUGUAAUAUUUGUUCAUUGUUCACCUGGCGCUCCUAG